rnacentral:lncRNA from 1 species
AAUAAGAGAAAGAAGCAAUCCAAACACUCUUCCUCCUCCCCCUCCCCAAUCCCUAGCCCCGAUUCGAUUCCUCUCUGAGCAAAAUGAAGAAAAACCCCAACCCCUGCAGUCGCCUGAAAUCCAUUUCAUUUGCAAGAUAUUUUUCACCAUUCGAAUUGGACAGCCCAUAACAACGCCACAAAGAACCAUAUACCUGAAAUCCGAUUCACAACCCAUUUCGACUCAGGUUCUGCUAUGGGUGUCUUGACGCUCAGCUCAAACCCAAACACUCUCGGUAAUCCUCAAAUCCCCAAAAUUCCAUUUCAUGUGUGAAUAGUGAGUGGUUUAACGUUUAGGAAAGAGCCCUAACAUUAAAUCCGUUGGAAGCAUUUCAUUUGUUUGCAAAGUAAGGACUUUUGAUCCUGCUCGUUGAAAUUGAAUUGAGGUUUGCAUUUAAUUUGUUUGCAAAUUAGUCAUUUUUUUCGAGUUAAUUUUACCAAAUGAGCUGCAAAAUGAAAUGCGUUGCUGCUGGUGCGAAUUAAAUGAACUCGCGAUUUAAGCAUAAUGACUUGUAUGAAUUAAGCCUAAUGACAUGGAGUUCAUAUGUCUUUCCACGAAUAGUGAUAAAUUUGUUUGGAUUUAUUUCUUACCUAUCCAUUUUACAUCAGAAUGCCAGGGAGAAAUAGGGGUAUUUGUCAUAGCUGUAGGCUGCUUGGCCACAUGUUGCCGGAAUUCCCAACAAAGACACGAUGCCGAAAAUGUGGAUUGGGAUUUGUGAAAUGUAUGGAGGUUGAAAAAAAAGAUAGAGAACAUAUGUCGAUUAUUCAAAUGUUGUACUAGAGAUUGUGGUUAUUUUAAGUGGAUCAAUGAUCCAUCAUCGUCGCAAGAAACACCUCUGCAAUAUGACAGCGAGUCAAGUGCAAAAUUGAAGACAAAAGACCCACUUGAAGAUUUGUCAUCCAUGUUGAAGACUGUCGUCCAGUUAAUAGAAGAACAACAAUUGGAGAUAUCCAUUAACAUAACGAUUCGUAAGGGAAAAGGAGCUACCAAGGACAAUGGGAAAGGAAAGGGAAAAGUUUCGUAAUUUGUUCUCAACUAUGUAAUGGAAUAAAAGUUUGGCAUUGUAGUUUUGAAAUGUAAUGCUUAUGUAAUUAGAAGUAGUAGUUGCAAUGUCCUUUAAGGCAUCAAGACUUGGAUGCGAUUUUGUAGUAGCUCCAUUAUUUAUUAAUGCUAUGUUGUAGCAACUCAAUUAUUUCUUAACGAAAGUAGUUCCCUCCAAUCUUGUAUGUAUUCU